ensembl:lncRNA
CAGCGUGAAGAACCACGUCAGUCACGCACAGAAGAACAUUAGACUCAAACCCUGUCCUGGACCAACUACUGCAGCUGUGACCUUUAGUUUGACCUCUACGUCGACACAGACAUCAGAAUAUGGUACGAGUUUCUCAUCAGCUGAUAUGAAUGUCACCUACACAACUGCAUUUUCUUCCAGGAUGUAUGAGUGCUGAGCUACAACACAUAAUGUAAAUAACGAUGAAAUCUAAUAAUAAUGAUGGCAGCGAGGGAUCUAUAGGAUCUAUUAUUUGUUUUCUUUCCUGAAAUUAAAAUACCAUAAUAAACAAAAUAUGCGAUUGGUUUUUAAAAAUCCA